GUGUUGGCUUCAGCAGCACAUAUACUAAAAUUUGAACAAUACAGAGAUUAGCAUGGCCCCUGCACAAGGAGGAUAUACAAAUUCGUGAAGCGUUCCAUAUUUUU
ensembl:snRNA U6 U6 spliceosomal RNA